UACGGAGGGUGCAAGCGUUGUCCGGAAUCACUGGGCGUAAAGGGCGCGUAGGCGGCUCAUGAAGGCUGUGGUGAAAGUCUGGGGCUCAACCUCGGAUCGGCCGUGGCGACUCGUGGGCUGGAGCACUGUAGAGGCGGGUGGAAUUCCGGGUGUAGCGGUGGAAUGCGUAGAGAUCCGGAAGAACACCAGUGGCGAAGGCGGCCCGCUGGGCAGUGGCUGACGCUGAGGCGCGACAGCGUGGGGAGCAAACAGG
rnacentral:rRNA from 1 species